AAGCAAUGUUCUAUGGCAAAUGAACAAAACUGCUGACCCCAAUUUGAACUUUCUAGAACAAGAAAGUCUAACUGAUACCAAUGUCCUUUUCCCAUGAGACAGGCCAAUCCAUAGGCUCAAACAGU
ensembl:snoRNA